rnacentral:rRNA from 1 species
GCGAACAGACGAGGAGCUUGCUCCUCUGACGUUAGCGGCGGACGGGUGAGUAACACGUGGAUAACCUACCUAUAAGACUGGGAUAACUUCGGGAAACCGGAGCUAAUACCGGAUAAUAUAUUGAACCGCAUGGUUCAAUAGUGAAAGACGGUUUUGCUGUCACUUAUAGAUGGAUCCGCGCCGCAUUAGCUAGUUGGUAAGGUAACGGCUUACCAAGGCAACGAUGCGUAGCCGACCUGAGAGGGUGAUCGGCCACACUGGAACUGAGACACGGUCCAGACUCCUACGGGAGGCAGCAGUAGGGAAUCUUCCGCAAUGGGCGAAAGCCUGACGGAGCAACGCCGCGUGAGUGAUGAAGGUCUUCGGAUCGUAAAACUCUGUUAUUAGGGAAGGACAAAUGUGUAAGUAACUAUACACGUCUUGACGGUACCUAAUCAGAAAGCCACGGCUAACUACGUGCCAGCAGCCGCGGUAAUACGUAGGUGGCAAGCGUUAUCCGGAAUUAUUGGGCGUAAAGCGCGCGUAGGCGGUUUUUUAAGUCUGAUGUGAAAGCCCACGGCUCAACCGUGGAGGGUCAUUGGAAACUGGAAAACUUGAGUGCAGAAGAGGAAAGUGGAAUUCCAUGUGUAGCGGCGAAAUGCGCGGAGAUAUGGAGGAACACCAGUGGCGAAGGCGACUUUCUGGUCUGUAACUGACGCUGAUGUGCGAAAGCGUGGGGAUCAAACAGGAUUA